CCCUAGAUGAAUCAAACUUAAAACUGUGCAAUUAAAAAAUAGACUUAUACAAGGAAAUGUACAUAACCUGUGCAGGGAUAAAAAAAAUAUAUAUAUAUAUGUGCAAUUUAAACAAGAACCUAAAAACAGUUGAGGGAAAAAAAAUCUGUAAUUAGAAGAGAAAAAUACAAAACUUGAAAUGCAGCUAUAAUUUUUUUUUUUUUUUCAAUUCGAACAACUUUAUUGAUCCCUCUUGGGGCCAAUUGCUUUGGACUUAGACCUGGUACAGUGACAAAUGUUUGUUAGUGCGUCUCAAACUAGGUCAAUAACACCACAUUGUAAUUCAAUGUAAGUCUUACUCACAACAAGUCAGUUACUUAUCAGACAAUAAAACCAAGAGAGAGCAAAUCCACCGUUCAAUUUGGCUUCUUUUCUCGGUACUCCACCCUCCCAUCUUGCAGACGUUAGCUUUGUUAGCUCGCUGCUAGGCCACAGACAGACAACAAACGAGUCCUCUGGCAAUAACAAAACGUACUAAUUCCUCCGGGCACAUGUUAGAUAUGCGCAGGUCCAGUGUUAAGGGAAGUGUUACCAUGGCCGCGGAGAGACGCUGCGUGAAGAAUACAGACGACGGUGCUGCAUUCACGGAGAUCUGGUGACUUCAGCACUGACAAAUUCCUGACUCCUGCUCCCUCUGAUCCCACAUCUGCCUGAUGCUACUCUCACUCGGCUGCUUCAGUCUCAGGGGUUUGUGGCUCUUCAGUCUAUAAGCCAAAGUCAGAAAGAUG